ACGAACGCUGGCGGCGUGCCUAAUACAUGCAAGUAGAACGCUGAAGAGAGGAGCUUACUCUUCUUGGAUGAGUUGCGAACGGGUGAGUAACGCGUAGGUAACCUGCCUUGUAGCGGGGGAUAACUAUUGGAAACGAUAGCUAAUACCGCAUAACAAUGGAUGACACAUGUCAUUUAUUUGAAAGGGGCAAUUGCUCCACUACAAGAUGGACCUGCGUUGUAUUAGCUAGUAGGUGAGGUAAUGGCUCACCUAGGCGACGAUACAUAGCCGAACUGAGAGGGGGAUCGGCCACCCUGGGACUGAGACACGGCCCAGACGCCUACGGGAGGCAGCAGUAGGGAAUCUUCGGCAAUGGGGGCAAACCUGACCGAGCAACGCCGCGUGAGUGAAGAAGGUUCUCGGAUCGUAAAGCUCGGUUGUAAGUCAAGAACGGGUGUGGGAGUGGAAAGUUCACACUGUGACGGUAGCUUAACAGAAAGGGACGGCUAACUACGUG
rnacentral:rRNA from 1 species